rnacentral:pre_miRNA from 1 species
AGGAGGAACAACCCCAGUGGCGGGGCCAGCUCUGCAGCCCUGGAGUCAGCCCUGCAGUAACUCCGGAGCUCUCUGUCUGCAGGGCCUGGAGGCUCCGGGGCGGG